CAUUACCGAGUGAGGGCCCUCUGGGUCCAACCUCCCACCCAUGUUUAUUGUACCUUGUUGCUUCGGCGGGCCCGCCUCACGGCCGCCGGGGGGCUUCUGCCCUCUGGCCCGCGCCCGCCGAAGACACCAUUGAACACUGUCUGAAGAUUGCAGUCUGAGCAAUUAGCUAAAUAAGUUAAAACUUUCAACAACGGAUCUCUUGGUUCCGGCAUCGAUGAAGAACGCAGCGAAAUGCGAUACGUAAUGUGAAUUGCAGAAUUCAGUGAAUCAUCGAGUCUUUGAACGCACAUUGCGCCCCUUGGUAUUCCGGGGGGCAUGCCUGUCCGAGCGUCAUUGCUGCCCUCAAGCACGGCUUGUGUGUUGGGCCCCGUCCUCCUUCCCGGGGGACGGGCCCGAAAGGCAGCGGCGGCACCGCGUCCGGUCCUCGAGCGUAUGGGGCUUUGUCACCCGCUCUUGUAGGCCCGGCCGGCGCUUGCCGACAACCAUCAAUCUUUUUUCAGGUUGACCUCGGAUCAGGUAGGGAUACCCGCUGAACUUAAGCAUAUCAAUAG
rnacentral:rRNA from 1 species